rnacentral:rRNA from 1 species
UGCUCUUGGGUGACGAGUGGCGGACGGGUGAGUAAUGUCUGGGAAACUGCCCGAUGGAGGGGGAUAACUACUGGAAACGGUAGCUAAUACCGCAUAACGUCUUCGGACCAAAGUGGGGGACCUUCGGGCCUCACACCAUCGGAUGUGCCCAGAUGGGAUUAGCUAGUAGGUGGGGUAACGGCUCACCUAGGCGACGAUCCCUAGCUGGUCUGAGAGGAUGACCAGCCACACUGGAACUGAGACACGGUCCAGACUCCUACGGGAGGCAGCAGUGGGGAAUAUUGCACAAUGGGCGCAAGCCUGAUGCAGCCAUGCCGCGUGUAUGAAGAAGGCCUUCGGGUUGUAAAGUACUUUCAGUGGGGAGGAAGGCGAUGAAGUUAAUAGCUUCGUCGAUUGACGUUACCCGCAGAAGAAGCACCGGCUAACUCCGUGCCAGCAGCCGCGGUAAUACGGAGGGUGCAAGCGUUAAUCGGAAUUACUGGGCGUAAAGCGCACGCAGGCGGUCUGUCAAGUCGGAUGUGAAAUCCCCGGGCUCAACCUGGGAACUGCAUUCGAAACUGGCAGGCUAGAGUCUUGUAGAGGGGGGUAGAAUUCCAGGUGUAGCGGUGAAAUGCGUAGAGAUCUGGAGGAAUACCGGUGGCG